UGGGGAAUAUUGCACAAUGGGCGAAAGCCUGAUGCAGCGACGCCGCGUGAGGGAUGACGGCCUUCGGGUUGUAAACCUCUUUCAGCAGGGACGAAGCGCAAGUGACGGUACCUGCAGAAGAAGCACAGGCUAACUACGUGCCAGCAGCCGCGGUAAUACGUAGGGUGCAAGCGUUGUCCGGAAUUACUGGGCGUAAAGAGUUCGUAGGCGGUUUGUCGCGUCGUUUGUGAAAACAAGCAGCUCAACUGCUGGCUUGCAGGCGAUACGGGCAGACUUGAGUACUGCAGGGGAGACUGGAAUUCCUGGUGUAGCGGUGAAUUGCGCAGAUAUCAGGAGGAACACCGGUGGCGAAGGCGGGUCUCUGGGCAGUAACUGACGCUGAGGAACGAAAGCGUGGGUAGCGAACAGG
rnacentral:rRNA from 1 species